rnacentral:rRNA from 1 species
GUAACAAGGUUUCCGUAGGUGAACCUGCGGAAGGAUCAUUACCUAGAGUUGUAGGCUUUGCCUGCUAUUUCUUACCCAUGUCUUUUGAGUACCUUACGUUUCCUCGGUGGGUUCGCCCACCGAUUGGACAAAUUUAAACCCUUUGCAGUUGAAAUCAGCGUCUGAAAAAACUUAAUAGUUACAACUUUCAACAACGGAUCUCUUGGUUCUGGCAUCGAUGAAGAACGCAGCGAAAUGCGAUAAGUAGUGUGAAUUGCAGAAUUCAGUGAAUCAUCGAAUCUUUGAACGCACAUUGCGCCCCUUGGUAUUCCAUGGGGCAUGCCUGUUCGAGCGUCAUUUGUACCUUCAAGCUCUGCUUGGUGUUGGGUGUUUGUCUCCUGUAGACUCGCCUUAAAACAAUUGGCAGCCGGCGUAUUGAUUUCGGAGCGCAGUACAUCUCGCGCUUUGCACUCAUAACGACGACAUCCAAAAGUACAUUUUUACACUCUUGACCUCGGAUCAGGUAGGGAUACCCGCUGAACUUAAGCAU